GUGGGGAAUAUUGGACAAUGGGCGAAAGCCUGAUCCAGCCAUGCCGCGUGUGUGAAGAAGGUCUUCGGAUUGUAAAGCACUUUAAGUUGGGAGGAAGGGCAGUAAGUUAAUACCUUGCUGUUUUGACGUUACCGACAGAAUAAGCACCGGCUAACUUCGUGCCAGCAGCCGCGGUAAUACGAAGGGUGCAAGCGUUAAUCGGAAUUACUGGGCGUAAAGCGCGCGUAGGUGGUUUUGUAAGUUGGAGGUGAAAUCACCGGGCUCAACCUGGGAACUGCCUCCAAAACUGCAUGACUAGAGUACGGUAGAGGGGAGUGGAAUUUCCUGUGUAGCGGUGAAAUGCGUAGAUAUAGGAAGGAACACCAGUGGCGAAGGCGACUACCUGGACUGAUACUGACACUGAGGUGCGAAAGCGUGGGGAGCAAACAGGAUUAGAUACCCUAGUAGUCC
rnacentral:rRNA from 1 species